UUUUAUUUGGAAAAACAUAGAAAUUGACCUUCUGGUCUUAAAUAUUGAAUCUUACAUUUGUUUUAUCUGAGUUUCUUCCUCAAAAAAUUGACCCUCAGGCCUCAUAAAACAGUAUCAAAGAACUGAAACUCACCAGAUCGCCACAUCCAGACAAUGAGAUGCCAGGGUCCUCAUUCAUCCUGAUUGCUUCCUUGCCCCUUCUUAGUUCCUGUCUUCUUACACACUGUUACAGUUCUUCCAUGCUAUAUAAACCCUGAGUUUUAGUCAGUCAGGGAGAUGAAUUUGAGACUGAACUCCUAUCUCCUCAACUGUAGCACCCAAUUAAAGCCUUCUCGAUUAAAGCCUUCUUUCCUGGCAAUACUCAUUGUCUCAGUGAUUGGCUUUCUGUGCAGUGAGCAGCAGGACCUAUACCAAACCCCUGGUUUUUCAGUAACAACAAAACAAGACAGAUCUGGAAAAGGCAAAGGACCAAAAAUAGCUGUAGAAACUGAUGCUAACUCAUUGAUGUGGCAGAAUUACUUGAGGAGACCAGUCCUUUACUGAGAGGAAGAUGGAUUACAUCCUAAACCUUCCUCAAUGGAGAGGCAGUGAUUCAUACUCACUGGAAUUGACACCCACCUAUGCCAGAGCACAGAGAUUAUCUUUUAAAGAUCAAUUUAUGUAGAACUGACAGUUGGCAUAGAUCGUAAACUGUCCUUUCAUAAUGGCGAUCCAUUUGUUCUCAAAUGCGCUGACAUUUUGUCAUAUGGAACAUUUUCAUUUUGGCUACAAAAUAAGUGGAAAUUUUAGUUUGCAGCAAUAAGCUUCCAUCUCCCAUUAUUAAAAAGAUUAUUUUAUAGUUGCAUGCAUCUUUAUUAUUUUAUAUAUAUAUAGUAUAGGAUCAAAAUUCAUAAAUGAUGUGAUGAAUAGUACUGUUGCCUGGCUUAGGUAGCUAUGGUACUGAUGUGAUAAAUGAUACAGCAAAAAUAAAAAGCAAAUUCAGGAUUCAGUUCACUUUCCACAUUUCUUCACUAACUUAAAAAAGUUAGAACACAUGGCUUUCAAAUAAUUUUUCAAUCUAUUGAUAGUGCAACGAUGUUAUAUAUUAUUAUUGAUGACUACCACUACAAACAGAAACAAAAUACCUUGAUUGGUAGUUAAGCAAAAGAAGAGUAUUAAAUCUCAUUAUAUUGUAAAAGUAAUGAAUAAAAUUUUGGAGAUGCUGGAAAAGAAUAGAUUUACCUAUGUUGCACUUUAUUUUUAAAGGUCAUAUUUUUAAAAGUCCAUUCUAUGCCUUCAAAUUUGAAGUCGUCAGCUAAUAUGCUAUUAUUUACAAAAGAUGUGCAAAACACUUUUGACAAUAGAAAGGUUUAAUAUAGUUGUUGCUCAUCAGGGUCUAUUGGUUUCAAUAUCUGAUAUUCUG
rnacentral:lncRNA from 1 species